rnacentral:tRNA from 1 species
UCUCCAGUGGCUCAGUGGUAAAGAACCUGCCUGCAAUGCAGGAGAUGCAGGUUUGAUUCCUGGAUUAGGAA